GUUGAUGACGCAUACGGAGAAUAAGGGUUCGAUUCCGGAGAGGGAGCAAGAGAGAUUGCUACUACUUCUAUGGAAGGCAGCAGGCGCGAAAAUUGCCCAAUCGGAAAUACCGGAGGCAGUGAAAAGGAAUAAGAAUGACAAAGGAAGCAAUUCCGAGUCAAUUCAAAUGAGUUAGAUGAAAAAUAGCAAACAAGAAGCAAGUGGAGGGCAAGUCUGGUGCCAGCAGCCGCGGUAAUACCAGCUCCACUAGCAUAUGUUAAAGUUGCUGCAGUUAAAACGCUCGUAGUUGGGAUAAAAAGAAGGAGAAAGCAAAAGAGAAAAUGAGAAAUUGUUUUUCAUUGUUUUUCUUCGUUUUAAUUUAUUUGGUGAAUUGAGGUAAUUGAGUUUGCCUUGUCACCGUAUCACCUUGAACAAAGCAUGUCGCUCAAAAAUGGGGUCUUCAGACAAGGAGUGUUGAGCAUGGAAUGAGAGAAUAUGAGAAGGAAAAAAAGAAGAGAGUGAUCUUGGAGGUUUUUC
rnacentral:rRNA from 1 species